CAAGGACCUCACAUCCCUCCAUUCCUGCAGAGCCAGCUCAGUGCUCAGCAUACAGCCCAAGGCAAAUCCAGAACUAUAUAUCUUAUUGUUUCCAUCCAUGUUCUGCUAAAGGCACAGGGCAGGGUAGCUCAAUGGCAGAGGACUUGCGUGGCAAGCAGCCCUGGGGUUCCUUCCCUGGAGCCACAAAGGAGUGGAGAAGAAGGGCAUCUUGAGAGCCAUGAAGCUGGCCUCCACCACCUGCAGCCUCCCACAGCCUUGCUUCCCGUCCCCUCAGGCCCUGACUAAGCCAGAUGACCCGCUGCUCAUGGCCAAGGAGGCUUUCUUUCCCACGCAGAAGUUCCUGCUGGAGAAGCCAGCACUGCUAGCCAGCUCUGGUAGGGGACAGGGGACACCCUGAGGGGCACUUGGGCUGGGGUCCUGGCAGGGAUGCCCCAGGGCCCCUGCCAUGUAAGGCAAGCAUACGAUAUGAGCACCUGCUGUGUGACGCUUCCCCAUAUUCAAAGUCAGGUAGUCUUAAGGCUCCUGAUGGCUUCCCUUGAUCCUGAGUCCAGCUGGACAGUGGGGCUUUAAGGAGUCAGGAGUCAGGAGGGGGGCGGUGGUGGGGCACGCCUUUAAUCUCAGCACUCGGAAGGCAG